CCGACUUUGCGAACUAGUUGUUUGCCGAACACAUUCUUGUGGCUUUCAAAUGAUUUCUGUACCUUCAAAUAGCUUCUAAUCGGACACAGAAGGAAAAAAAAAUAUCAGGGUUUACAGUGCAGUUUCCUUCCUCGCGAACCGAAGGGGGAGGGGGGCAAGUUCCAUGGAAGUUUGUUCCAUUCCCUCGUUCUUUGUCGUUGUUUGCCGAACAUGUCUUUGAAAAUGCCAGACAAACUCGUGCGGGGUUCACACACAUAAACUUGGUUCUUAGUCUUGGAUCUGGAGACACAGAAUCGUGUUUGUUGGAGUUGAAGUUGGAUUUGUUUGUGCGGUGUGAAUGUAAACAUUGCAAUGCAAGACUCAAAGCUGCACAGGUCUCAACACAGAAGAGACAGACAGACAGCUUCAUAAAGACUUCAACAUGCUGGACCAGAGAUGAUCCUCAGCAUUAACUUGCCUACAAAAGAGGAAAGUAGGGAUGGCCAAAUAUAAGGUGGAACAAGGCUCUGGGAAAGGAUUGAAGCCAGAACAACUGAAGUGACGUGCCCUGAGAGAAGUCCUGACACACUGUCAGUGUCACAACUUUCUACUCUACUCUGAAGAAACCAGGACCUGGACAACACCUCACUUCUCUGAGUUCUUCAGGACCAGAAAUUCUUCAACCUGCUGAAGUCUGUGGCCAGAGAAGUGCAACUCUGACAACAGCAGUUUUUUUCUUCUUGUACAUGGAGCAAAACAAGACCCAAAUAGACUGUACAACUUCUGUGAGUUCCUCAACACCAAGAAGCUUUGAACAUGUCUACAAUGUGGUAGGACAAACUUGCAGUAUAAUACUUGUCCUGUAGGCCCAGAUAUGGCAGAUACUACAAUGUAAAUUGUAUGGUAGUUUUGCACAUUCUUACCUACUGACUGUAAAGUUUGAUGAUUUCAUGCUUGCUUUGCUAUAAACAGUGUGUUAUGACAAAUUACAGGCAUAUAGAUAAAGUCAUCAGCAUGCAUAAAAAUCCAGGUACAAUUAUGUCAUUAAUAGAAUGUUUUACACA